ACUGUAUACUAUACUUAGGCGACUUUUGGCCGGCAAAGGCGACGGCCACGACGAGCCGGCGGGGCCAAGUGAGGCAGCUCGGUUGCGACUGUUGUUAAACGUAUUUUCUUAUAUGUGACGACCAAUCUUCGACCGGAUUCCUUCGGUAUUAUGUUUGUCGUUUUUUCGGUACACGUUUACUUGGGCUCGCGCCUCAGGUAUUUUGUAAUAUUUGCGUUUCCCCUGUACGCAGCACCCCGGCGCUGAGGGGCUACCGCCGCGUUCACCCUCCCCCUGCCAGCGCGGCGGUGGUGUCCGCCAAUGCCAGCACGUGGCGCGUGUCGCGUCCGCGGAAAGGGUGGAGCGAACCGGGAAGGGAUGAACACCGGACGCGGCUUGGCCACUCGGCCCGUGUAUAUAAAAACCGCAAUCCGUCCACGGUGUACCGUCACAUUGCCAAAAACCGAGCGACGCUCUCCGAAUUCGGAACAGCCGUUGACCCCCCAGAAAAUAGCCGUCGCCUUUUGGACCCAGCCGAACCGUCGCCACGCGGACCGCAAGUGUCCAAAGACCGCAGCAGCAGCAACCGUCUUCACCGGCGUUCACGUCUUCACAGCCCAAUCUCAGUUUCGCGUUAGUUCGGGUUCAACCAUGAUGUCGUCCGGGUGCACGUCCAAAUCGACCGACUACUACUAUCAGAUGAGACAGAAGAACAACGAGGCCGCCCGCAACAGCCGGUUCAAGAAGAAGGUGGCCGAGAUCGAGAUUUCGGCCCAAAAACGCAAGCUGGAAGUCACCUAUGUGCAGCUGAAAAAAGAGAUCAAACGCAUACAAGUGGUGAAGGCUUCGUAACCGGAGUGUAACCGGUUAGGGCAUAAAUCCCGAGAUCCAGUCGCCGAUCAAAUUUAUUUCGUUAUAAUAUGACUGCACAUUGGAGAAAAUGGUUCUGUCGAAUUUCUAGUCAAACUCUACGACACACACACACACACACACUUACACACUUACAAAAAAACGUUAAACGUUUUCAGACAAUUAAAUAAAAUAUUCAGAGCAUACCUAUUAUUAUAAUACAUUAUUAUAUUUUACACGUUAAUACUUAUCUGUAUACUUACUCGCCUUCAUUAAUUAUUUUUUUUAACGUGCAGUUUUUUAAUAUUUAUUAUUAUUAUUAUUAUUAUUCCUAUUAUUAUAUUAUAUUAUUAUUAUUAUUAUUAUAUUGU